GACGAACGCUGGCGGCGUGCUUAACACAUGCAAGUCGAACGGAAAGGCCCUGCUUUUGUGGGGUGCUCGAGUGGCGAACGCGUGAGUAACACGUGAGUAACCUGCCCUUUACUUUGGGAUAACUUCAGGUAACUGGUGCUAAUACCGGAUAGCAGCUCCUGCUGCAUGUUGUGGGUUGGAUAGUUUCGGCGGUUGGGUAUGGACUCGCGGCUUAUCAGCUUGUUGGUGGGGUAGUGGCUUACCAAGGCUUUGACGGGUAGCCGGCCUGAGAGGGUGACCGGCCAAAUUGGGACUGAGAUACGGCCCAGACUCCUACGGGAGGCAGCAGUGGGGAAUAUUGCACAAUGGGAGGAAGCCUGAUGCAGCAACGCCGCGUGCGGGAUGACGGCCUUCGGGUUGUAAACCGCUUUCGCCUGUGACGAAGCGUGAGUGACGGUAAUGGGUAAAGAAGCACCGGCUAACUACGUG
rnacentral:rRNA from 1 species